rnacentral:miRNA from 1 species
AUCACUUGGUGAUCAUAUUAAAAUUUAGAUUUUGAUUUAGGUCAGUACGAGUGUGAGAUUCUACAUUUCUAACAAGCUCCCAGGUGAUGC